rnacentral:rRNA from 1 species
ACGUAGGUGGCGAGCGUUAUCCGGAAUCAUUGGGCGUAAAGAGGGAGCAGGCGGCAGUGCAGGUCUGCGGUGAAAGCCCGAAGCUAAACUUCGGUAAGCCGUGGAAACCGCACAGCUAGAGAGCAUCAGAGGAUCGCGGAAUUCCAUGUGUAGCGGUGAAAUGCGUAGAUAUAUGGAGGAACACCAGUGGCGAAGGCGGCGGUCUGGGGUGCAGCUGACGCUCAGUCCCGAAAGCGUGGGGAGCAAAUAG